GGUUAAGCGACUAAGCGUACACGGUGGAUGCCCUGGCAGUCAGAGGCGAUGAAGGACGUGCUAAUCUGCGAAAAGCGUCGGUAAGGUGAUAUGAACCGUUAUAACCGGCGAUGUCCGAAUGGGGAAACCCAGUGUGAUUCGUCACACUAUCGUUAACUGAAUACAUAGGUUAACGAGGCGAACCGGGGGAACUGAAACAUCUAAGUACCCCGAGGAAAAGAAAUCAACCGAGAUUCCCCCAGUAGCGGCGAGCGAACGGGGAGCAGCCCAGAGUCUGAAUCAGCUUGUGUGUUAGUGGAACGGUCUGGAAAGUCCGACGGUACAGGGUGAUAGUCCCGUACACCAAAAUGCACAGGCUGUGAACUCGAAGAGUAGGGCGGGACACGUGGUAUCCUGUCUGAAUAUGGGGGGACCAUCCUCCAAGGCUAAAUACUCCUGACUGACCGAUAGUGAACCAGUACCGUGAGGGAAAGGCGAAAAGAACCCCGGCGAGGGGAGUGAAAAAGAACCUGAAACCGUGUACGUACAAGCAGUGGGAGCACCUUCGGGUGUGACUGCGUACCUUUUGUAUAAUGGGUCAGCGACUUAUAUUCUGUAGCAAGGUUAACCGUAUAGGGGAGCCGCAGGGAAACCGAGUCUUAACUGGGCGUUAAGUUGCAGGGUAUAGACCCGAAACCCGGUGAUCUAGCCAUGGGCAGGUUGAAGGUUGGGUAACACUAACUGGAGGACCGAACCGACUAAUGUUGAAAAAUUAGCGGAUGACUUGUGGCUGGGGGUGAAAGGCCAAUCAAACCGGGAGAUAGCUGGUUCUCCCCGAAAGCUAUUUAGGUAGCGCCUCGUGAACUCAUCUUCGGGGGUAGAGCACUGUUUCGGCUAGGGGGUCAUCCCGACUUACCAACCCGAUGCAAACUACGAAUACCGAAGAAUGUUAUCACGGGAGACACACGGCGGGUGCUAACGUCCGUCGUGAAGAGGGAAACAACCCAGACCGCCAGCUAAGGUCCCAAAGUCAUGGUUAAGUGGGAAACGAUGUGGGAAGGCACAGACAGCCAGGAUGUUGGCUUAGAAGCAGCCAUCAUUUAAAGAAAGCGUAAUAGCUCACUGGUCGAGUCGGCCUGCGCGGAAGAUGUAACGGGGCUAAACCAUGCACCGAAGCUGCGGCAGCGACACUAUGUGUUGUUGGGUAGGGGAGCGUUCUGUAAGCCUGCGAAGGUGACCUGUGAGGGUUGCUGGAGGUAUCAGAAGUGCGAAUGCUGACAUAAGUAACGAUAAAGCGGGUGAAAAGCCCGCUCGCCGGAAGACCAAGGGUUCCUGUCCAACGUUAAUCGGGGCAGGGUGAGUCGACCCCUAAGGCGAGGCCGAAAGGCGUAGUCGAUGGGAAACAGGUUAAUAUUCCUGUACUUGGUGUUACUGCGAAGGGGGGACGGAGAAGGCUAUGUUAGCCGGGCGACGGUUGUCCCGGUUUAAGCAUGUAGGCUGGUUGUCCAGGCAAAUCCGGAUAAUCAAGGCUGAGGUGUGAUGACGAGGCACUACGGUGCUGAAGUAACAAAUGCCCUGCUUCCAGGAAAAGCCUCUAAGCAUCAGGUAACAUUAAAUCGUACCCCAAACCGACACAGGUGGUCAGGUAGAGAAUACCAAGGCGCUUGAGAGAACUCGGGUGAAGGAACUAGGCAAAAUGGUGCCGUAACUUCGGGAGAAGGCACGCUGGUGUGUAGGUGAAGUCCCUGCGGAUGGAGCUGAGACCAGUCGAAGAUACCAGCUGGCUGCAACUGUUUAUUAAAAACACAGCACUGUGCAAACACGAAAGUGGACGUAUACGGUGUGACGCCUGCCCGGUGCCGGAAGGUUAAUUGAUGGGGUUAUCCGUAAGGAGAAGCUCUUGAUCGAAGCCCCGGUAAACGGCGGCCGUAACUAUAACGGUCCUAAGGUAGCGAAAUUCCUUGUCGGGUAAGUUCCGACCUGCACGAAUGGCGUAAUGAUGGCCAGGCUGUCUCCACCCGAGACUCAGUGAAAUUGAACUCGCUGUGAAGAUGCAGUGUACCCGCGGCAAGACGGAAAGACCCCGUGAACCUUUACUAUAGCUUGACACUGAACAUUGAGCCUUGAUGUGUAGGAUAGGUGGGAGGCUUUGAAGCGUGGACGCCAGUCUGCGUGGAGCCAACCUUGAAAUACCACCCUUUAAUGUUUGAUGUUCUAACGUUGGCCCCUUACCGGGGUUGCGGACAGUGUCUGGUGGGUAGUUUGACUGGGGCGGUCUCCUCCCAAAGCGUAACGGAGGAGCACGAAGGUUAGCUAAUCCUGGUCGGACAUCAGGAGGUUAGUGCAAUGGCAUAAGCUAGCUUGACUGCGAGCGUGACGGCGCGAGCAGGUGCGAAAGCAGGUCAUAGUGAUCCGGUGGUUCUGAAUGGAAGGGCCAUCGCUCAACGGAUAAAAGGUACUCCGGGGAUAACAGGCUGAUACCGCCCAAGAGUUCAUAUCGACGGCGGUGUUUGGCACCUCGAUGUCGGCUCAUCACAUCCUGGGGCUGAAGUAGGUCCCAAGGGUAUGGCUGUUCGCCAUUUAAAGUGGUACGCGAGCUGGGUUUAGAACGUCGUGAGACAGUUCGGUCCCUAUCUGCCGUGGGCGCUGGAGAAUUGAGGGGGGCUGCUCCUAGUACGAGAGGACCGGAGUGGACGCAUCACUGGUGUUCGGGUUGUCAUGCCAAUGGCACUGCCCGGUAGCUAAAUGCGGAAGAGAUAAGUGCUGAAAGCAUCUAAGCACGAAACUUGCCCCGAGAUGAGUUCUCCCUGAGACUUUAAGUCUCCUGAAGGAACGUUGAAGACGACGACGUUGAUAGGCCGGGUGUGUAAGCGCAGCGAUGCGUUGAGCUAACCGGUACUAAUGAACCGUGAGGCUUAACCUU
rnacentral:rRNA from 1 species